rnacentral:tRNA from 9 species
GGAAGAGUGUCCGAGUGGUUUAAGGAACUGGUCUUGAAAACCAGCGAUGGGGUAACUCAUCCGUGGGUUCGAAUCCCACCUCUUCCGCCA